GGUCCUGUAGUAUAGCGGUAAACACCCUGGACAUUGAAUCGAGUGACGAGAGUUCGAAUCUCGCCACGACCU
rnacentral:tRNA from 1 species